AAGGUUUAUCUCCUCUUACCAUAUCUCCGUUCCCCCCUUUUUCAUCACUGCAAAAUCGCCAUUGAUGAACAGCAACCAACGCUCCGGUACGAAACAAAGGUCGAUUCCCACAUGUCCAACACCCACCAGCUAAGUCAGUCCAGUAAGUCUUCCCUCUACUUGGUACUUUCGGUUAUUAUUACCCCUUUUCAUUUCCCAAUUAGGGUUUUCUAUUUAGUAGAAAUUGAUCAUUUCAAAAUUGAGACGAACCCCUCCGAAGGACGAGUUCCCCUACGAUGAUGAAGAAGCGUUGUGCCACUAUGGCUUGCGGGCUUUGAGGCGUAUUUCGCGCAUGUCCAGGAACCUCAGAAAGAAAUUUUUCGGGUGCCCCCAGUAUGUCUCCCACAUUCAAAAAGGAUGUGGUUAUUUCGAUUGGUAUGAUGUUAAGGUAGCUGCACUGAAAGACAAGUAAGAGCUCGUUAAAAUGGUGGAUAGGUUGCAGGUGAAUGUCAGAAAACCGGAACGAACCAACCUAGAGUUGAAGUAAAAAACCGGAGUGGUUUGUUUGGAAAAGGAAGAAGAAGCUUGCUCGUCAUCCAAUCUGCAUCUUCAGAUGGACUAUGACAUUGUUGGUGAGUUGGAAAGGCUAAAAUGCAGGGUUGGUUUACUUGAAAAAAGGGGGUGUUGUGGACAUAACAACAUGAAUUGAUGAGUGUUAUGAUUUUAUGUAAUUACUGUAAGGUUUGUUGCUAUGGUCAAUGUACUUGUACUAUUAUUGUACAUUGUAUACUGCCGUUUCCAUUAAUGGUAUGAAAACUCGACGAAACUUGACAGUACACGCUGCUAUGGCGGACGAAACAUGAUGAAAAUCGUGGACGGUGUCAGUGGUAAACUACCAUUUGGAUCAAA
rnacentral:lncRNA from 1 species